rnacentral:RNase_P_RNA from 1 species
UUUAGACAAGUGCUGGGAUUAAUUCCUAGAGGAAAGUCCAUGCUCACACAGUCUGCGAUGAUUGUAGUGUUCGUGCUUAAGGAAAAAAUAACUUAAGGUAGUGUUUAGACACUAACGGCUUAGCCUUUACCUAAGGUUUUUCUAUGGUAAAGGUUUGUAAAGUGCCACAGAGACGAGCAUCUAGGAAACUAGGUGUGUGAAACGCGGUAAACCCCACGAGUGAGAAACCCAAAUUAUGGUAGGGGAGCUUUAAGAAGAAAAAUGAAUUUUCUUAAGGACUAGAAAUAGUAGAUAAAUACUUGUCACCUAGAAAUAGGUACAGAACAUGGCUUAUU